rnacentral:rRNA from 1 species
GAAAGAUGGUUCUGCUAUCACUCUUGGAUGGACCUGCGGUGCAUUAGCUAGUUGGUAAGGUAACGGCUUACCAAGGCAAUGAUGCAUAGCCGAGUUGAGAGACUGAUCGGCCACAUUGGGACUGAGACACGGCCCAAACUCCUACGGGAGGCAGCAGUAGGGAAUCUUCCACAAUGGACGAAAGUCUGAUGGAGCAACGCCGCGUGAGUGAAGAAGGGUUUCGGCUCGUAAAGCUCUGUUGGUAGUGAAGAAAGAUAGAGGUAGUAACUGGCCUUUAUUUGACGGUAAUUACUUAGAAAGUCACGGCUAACUACGUGCCAGCAGCCGCGGUAAUACGUAGGUGGCAAGCGUUGUCCGGAUUUAUUGGGCGUAAAGCGAGUGCAGGCGGUUCAAUAAGUCUGAUGUGAAAGCCUUCGGCUCAACCGGAGAAUUGCAUCAGAAUCUGUUGAACUUGAGUGCAGAAGAGGAGAGUGGAACUCCAUGUGUAGCGGUGGAAUGCGUAGAUAUAUGGAAGAACACCAGUGGCGAAGGCGGCUCUCUGGUCUGCAACUGACGCUGAGGCUCGAAAGCAUGGGUAGCGAACAGGAUUAGAUACCCUGGUAGUCCAUGCCGUAAACGAUGAGUGCUAAGUGUUGGGAGGUUUCCGCCUCUCAGUGCU